rnacentral:rRNA from 1 species
UUGGAGGGCAGUCUGGUGCCAGCAGCCGCGGUAAUUCCAGCUCCAACAGCGUAUAUUAAAGUUGUUGCAGUUAAAAAGCUCGUAGUUGAAUUUCGGGAUCAAUUUAUUGGUCGUGCCAACGGUACGCACUGGUACAAUUGGUUUCUCCCUUCAGACGAAGCAUGAUGUCAUUAAUUUGAUGUCGUGGGGAAUCAGGACUGUUACUUUGAAAAAAUUAGAGUGUUUAAAGCAGGCUUUGGCUUGAAUACAUUAGCAUGGAAUAAUGAAAUAGGACGUUUGAUCUUAUUUCGUUGGUUUCUAAGAUCGACGUAAUGAUUAAUAGGGAUAGUUGGGGGCAUUAGUAUUCAAUUGUCAGAGGUGAAAUUCUUGGAUUUAUUGAAGACUAACUACUGCGAAAGCAUUUGCCAAGGAUGUUUUCAUUAAUCAAGAACGAAAGUUAGGGGAUCGAAGACGAUCAGAUACCGUCGUAGUCUUAACCAUAAACUAUGCCGACUAGGGAUCGGAUGAUGUUAAUUUUUUAAUGACUCAUUCGGCGCCUUACGGGAAAC